AUUAUGGCUCAGACGAACGCUGGUAGCGUGGAUUAGGCAUGCAAGUCGAACGGGAUCCGGAAGGCAGCAAUGUCGGCCGGUGAGAGUGGCGGAAGGGCGAGGAACACGUGGGCAACCUGUCUUGAGGUGGGGAAAACCUCGGGAAACUGAGGCUAAUACCGAAUGUGGCGCGGAAGGGCAUCCUUCCAGCGCUAAAGGGGGCGAAAGCUCCCCCUCUUCGAGGGGCUCGCGCACCAUCAGCUAGUUGGCGGGGUAACGGCCCACCAAGGCUCACGGUUAGCUGGUCUGAGAGGAUGGCCAGCCGCACUGGGACUGAGAUACUGCCCAGACUCCUACGGGAGGCUGCAGUCGAGGAUCAUUCGCAAUGGGCGAAAGCCUGACGAUGCGACGCUGCGUGGAGGAAUGAAGGCCUUCGGGUUGUAAACUCCUGUCAUGAGGGAAAGGAGACCUUACCAAUACGUAGGGAUUUGAUGGUACCUCAAGAGGAAGGGACGGCUAACUCUGUGCCAGCAGCAGC
rnacentral:rRNA from 1 species